CGGAAUUACUGGGCGUAAAGCGCGCGUAGGUGGCUUGAUAAGCCGGUUGUGAAAGCCCCGGGCUCAACCUGGGAACGGCAUCCGGAACUGUCAAGCUAGAGUGCAGGAGAGGAAGGUAGAAUUCCCGGUGUAGCGGUGAAAUGCGUAGAGAUCGGGAGGAAUACCAGUGGCGAAGGCGGCCUUCUGGACUGACACUGACACUGAGGUGCGAAAGCGUGGGUAGCAAACAGGAUUAGAUACCCUGGUAGUCCACGCCGUAAACGAUGUCGACCAGCCGUUGGGUGCCUAGCGCACUUUGUGGCGAAGUUAACGC
rnacentral:rRNA from 1 species